rnacentral:rRNA from 1 species
AUUGAACGCUGGCGGCAGGCCUAACACAUGCAAGUCGAGCGAGAGUCGGACGGGUGAGUAAUGUAUGGGGACUGCCCGAUAGCGGGGGAUAACUAAUGUAGACGGUAGCUAAUACCGCAUACGAUCGGAUAACCCAUAUGGGAUUAGCUAGUAGAUGAGGUAAUGGCUCACCUAGGCGACGAUCCCUAGCUGGUCUGAGAGGAUGAUCAGACACACUGGGAAUGAGACACGGCCCAGACUCCUACGGAGGCAGCAGUGGGGAAUAUUGCACAAUGGGCGCAAGCCUGAUGCAGCCAUGCCGCGUGUAUGAAGAAGGACCUAGGGUUGUAAAGUACUUUCAGUCGGGAGGCGUUACCGAAAGAAGAAGCACCGGGUAACUCCGUGCCAGCGGCCGCGGUAAUAC